AUAUUCAUAGCCUAGUGGAAAGUAUAGAUAUGAAAAAUUAAACUUUCUACUACUAGUUUGGAACAUCUCAAAAUGGAAAGAUGGGUUAGCAAUUUGGGAUGAAAGAAAUAUUUCAUUCCUAUGUUUUGUGGUUGAUUUCAAUAUUAGCUGAUUGCUAACCUUUUUGGUCAGCCUAUGUCACAUUACCUCUGCAAUGACUAAAAGGUGUAGAAGUUGAAUACAAGCUAAGGAAUCAAUUUAACCAUCUUGGUACUGUUGGUCAUUUAAUUGUCAUUUGUAGCCGUGAACAUGGUCUCUUGUGCAUUCGACGUGGAUCCUAUUUUGGUAUGCUCUUAUUAUGUGAUUCCCAAUACUUCAGUUGUUUUGAGGUACAAAGAAAUUCCUAUUAACCAUGAGUCUGAGGUUCAGAGCUCAUUAUAAAUACUUUGUCAAAGAUAAAUUCUCGAGGUGGUCUUCCUUGUUCUUUCGAUAACCUCAUGACCUUGGAGUUUCAUACUAAAAUGACCAAAGAUGAAAUCACAGGGAUAACAUGCCUUCUUAGAAGCUCUCCAAUACUCCACACAAUCACUAUAAGUGUAAACAGUUGUUCUAACAACAAAAAUGAGAGUUGGAAGGACUAUUGGAAAUACCAAUUUCAAAAUCUCAAGUUGAUCGAGCUUCACCUGAAAGUUGCAAGGAUUGAUGUUCAAGAUACUAAGAUGCAUUAUAAUGCACUCAAUUUAGUGAAAUUAUUGCUUGGGCCCGGACAAGCGUUGCAAGAAAUGACUCUAACUUUGAGGAGCAACCCAAUGGUUCCUCCUCUCCAACAACGAAGAAUUCGUUCUCAGAUAAUGAAGAUUGUACGGGCAUCUUGUAAUGUUAUAGUCUCUUUUCUUCCACAAGACUAGAGCCCCUCAACAGUAGAGUAUAUUUACUGGAACUUGCAUGGUAAUUUCCCAUAGCAUGCUCUUUUUACUCAGUGUUUUGUUAAAACAAGCAAAUAUUUUGUGGUGUUUUUUUGAAUAGAAGAA